GGGGGUCGCUGGUCGCUCCUGGAGUCAUCCCACAAGGCCUUUCCCUCCCUCCUUUCUCCAAAAGAGGAGCCCUCAGGCGACGCACCCAGCACUCUGCGAGGCCCACCAAGGCCACGAGUCCCGAGUCCUGGAGCGAGUUGCAGCGUUCUGGCUGCAGCUGACCACUGACCUAGAGAUGUGCCUUUGCGAAGUGGCAGCGCAUGGAGAAACAGUCGCGGGUCGCCGGGGCCAGAGCCGCCCACCGGGUAGCCAGGAGCAGGCCGGAGCGAGGAGGCUCCCGGGGUGAGACCGGGGCACCCUGAACAUCAUAAGGGACUCAGACUUUGGCAUCCCCGACGUCAUAAAGGAUUCACACGGAUGCGGAAACCGAGACGGGCUGGAUGGAAAACUCUAUCCAGAGAGGCUCCGAGGCCCUCAACUGGUCUCCAACCUUCCCCUGCAACCUGCGACACCUGCCAUUUUCCCAUCUUAGGCUCCAGAAGCAGAAUCAAGUGGGAUGUCUUGGAAGAAAAACAAACAAAAGGCCCACUAGGUGGAGUGAAAUGAAUCAGGAGCGAUUAUGUUCAAUUUCACCUGUAAGUUUUCUCAAAAGGAGGAGCAUUAAGAAUCAGCCAUCUUAGUACAUACUUAAAGGUAAAUAUUACAUUUAAGAAAAUCCUUGUUAUCUUAAUGUGGCACUGAGAAAAUACUACCAAGUACAGCACUUGGACUAAGUUAGAACAUUAAAUACACAGGAUCUCUUGAUAGAAUUAUCCUCAGACUUUCCAGUUCUAAUCGUCUAGAUUUACUGAGACCUGAUCCUGUCCCCGCUGAUGAAACGUCAGAGGAAUGGGAUCCUGUAGGUGAAGAUCAUCAGCUUAUAAAAUCCUGUUGCCAUCAAUGGGGGUGGCAGGAAAAGGAUGAAGAUUGUUUAAGGGGCCAGUGGACUCAGCAUUGAAAUGAAUCAUGGACUUGAAGCCAAAAGACUCAGUUUGUGUCCCAGCUCUCUCAAGCAAAGUCCCCAAGUCCCAGUUUCCUCAUCUAUAAAAAAUAAUAAAAAUACUUAAUGGACAAAGUUGUGUGGGAAUCAAAUGAGAUAAAGUAUGCUCUGCAUAUACCCUAAAGUCUUAUAUAAAUAAAGGCAUUCUUUUCAUCUGAGAAAUUGAAGAAAAAGAUGCCCUGAACAAGAAAGACAGGAGAAAAGAUUUUUUUUUAAAUGAAGGAUAAAAUGAUGAAAUCCCCCCAGGAGAAGAUAGGCAUUGGACAAAACGGUCAUUCUCACGUUGACCAGG
rnacentral:lncRNA from 1 species